GAUGAACGCUGGCGGCGUGCCUAAUACAUGCAAGUCGAGCGAACGGACGAGAAGCUUGCUUCUCUGAUGUUAGCGGCGGACGGGUGAGUAACACGUGGAUAACCUACCUAUAAGACUGGGAUAACUUCGGGAAACCGGAGCUAAUACCGGAUAAUAUUUUGAACCGCAUGGUUCAAAAGUGAAAGACGGUCUUGCUGUCACUUAUAGAUGGAUCCGCGCUGCAUUAGCUAGUUGGUAAGGUAACGGCUUACCAAGGCAACGAUGCAUAGCCGACCUGAGAGGGUGAUCGGCCACACUGGAACUGAGACACGGUCCAGACUCCUACGGGAGGCAGCAGUAGGGAAUCUUCCGCAAUGGGCGAAAGCCUGACGGAGCAACGCCGCGUGAGUGAUGAAGGUCUUCGGAUCGUAAAACUCUGUUAUUAGGGAAGAACAUAUGUGUAAGUAACUGUGCACAUCUUGACGGUACCUAAUCAGAAAGCCACGGCUAACUACGUGCCAGCAGCCGCGGUAAUGCGUAGGUGGCAAGCGUUAUCCGGAAUUAUUGGGCGUAAAGCGCGCGUAGGCGGUUUUUUAAGUCUGAUGUGAAAGCCCACGGCUCAACCGUGGAGGGUCAUUGGAAACUGGAAAACUUGAAUGCAGAAGAGGAAAGUGGAAUUCCAUGUGUAGCGGUGAAAUGCGCAGAGAUAUGGAGGAACACCAGUGGCGAAGGCGACUUUCUGGUCUGUAACUGGCGCUGAUGUGCGAAAGCGUGGGGAUCAAACAGGAUUAGAUACCCUGGUAGUCCACGCCGUAAACGAUGAGUGCUAAGUGUUAGGGGGUUUCCGCCCCUUAGUGCUGCAGCUAACGCAUUAAGCACUCCGCCUGGGGAGUACGACCGCAAGGUUGAAACUCAAAGGAAUUGACGGGGACCCGCACAAGCGGUGGAGCAUGUGGUUUAAUUCGAAGCAACGCGAAGAACCUUACCAAAUCUUGACAUCCUUUGACAACUCUAGAGAUAGAGCCUUCCCCUUCGGGGGACAAAGUGACAGGUGGUGCAUGGUUGUCGUCAGCUCGUGUCGUGAGAUGUUGGGUUAAGUCCCGCAACGAGCGCAACCCUUAAGCUUAGUUGCCAUCAUUAAGUUGGGCACUCUAAGUUGACUGCCGGUGACAAACCGGAGGAAGGUGGGGAUGACGUCGAAUCAUCAUGCCCCUUAUGAUUUGGGCUACACACGUGCUACAAUGGACAAUACAAAGGGCAGCGAAACCGCGAGGUCAAGCAAAUCCCAUAAAGUUGUUCUCAGUUCGGAUUGUAGUCUGCAACUCGACUACAUGAAGCUGGAAUCGCUAGUAAUCGUAGAUCAGCAUGCUACGGUGAAUACGUUCCCGGGUCU
rnacentral:rRNA from 1 species